ensembl:lncRNA
UGUAUAUCAUUGAAGUAGUUUUCUAGCUACUUAAAACUUUGUUAAAGGCAAUGGAUUCAUAUUUUAUUCAAAAUUUCAAAGUUUAUGGCUUAGAACUGUUCAAAACUUACUUCACUACUUAGAAGAUUAACCAGGGCUUUCUCGAAUAGGCAUGAAUAAAAUAUCCAUCAAGUACUGGCAGACAUUUAAUACAAUUUUAAAAUAGCUCCCUGAUCUCACAAGAGGCAAACAGAUUAGUAAUAGUCACCCAACUUUGCAUAUUUGAGGUGAUAGUAAUUUAACUUACUUGGCUAUCUUUUUGCUUGUUUUGAAUUUCCAGUACUGUGUCUUCACAUGCUCCUGAAUUUGGGCACCUCUGCUUUUUAAACAUUCUAAUCAUUUGGUAAAGCAAAAUUACUACUCUACCUAAUCACUCACAGCCCUAAUAAUGUAGAAAAGGCCCUCGUUCUGUUCUUUCCAGAUUACUGGUGUCAAUCUAGGCUCAUAGGUGAAAGGAAUACAAUAGAUUCAGUGAUCUUCUAUAACAUAUAGGUGACAGAGGGAUGGAGUUGAAGUGUUCUUUUUAAUGUUGGACAGACUGCUAGGAUUUGGUUAGAUUCCUUCCAUACCUACUUUUAAUGGACCAUGUAUAUGGAGACCAAUCCUACUCCUGGGACAAUAAAAAAAGGAGACGAUCUUACCUCCUGUGAAUUCAAGGAAGACUUUUCUCUCUUGAGAGGCAAACCUGAUCUCUGAUUCAAGAGUCUCAGAAUUGUGUUCAUUAAGAAUUUCAUGUUUAUUUGUAAAAGUAAAGAUUAAGCUCUCUUCUGUGGGUGAGGGAAUGAUGAAAAAGUUCACAUUUAGUGUUCCUAAGAAUCUGACCAUUUUAUCUUUCUCACUAUUGGUGGCUGGCAGUGAGUCUUUACCAAAAAAAAGAGAAAGGCUGAAAGUGCCAGCUAAAGUAAUUAUUUUUGGUUGUGCCUGAUCUGCUGCCUUAAACUUAGGGAAAAUCAAAACCAUUUUACUCACAUUUCAGUCUCACUAUUUCCAUAUAUAUCUUCCUCACUAUAAAGGGAGUUCCCUUAAAAUUGCAGAAGAGUUCUUCAGGGAAAGGAUAUUGGAGAAAGGAGGUGGGAGAAGGUAGAAUUGUAUAGUGAAGACCCUGCAUUCUAGCUCAGUAGAGGUAGGAAAAAUAGUUUUUCUCACAUCACUCCUCAAGUUAAUAUUGUUAAGCCUAAAUGGGGCAGACCAGGUUAAGAGUCAAUGUUUUUCUGACACCCUAGUUAUCAGUCAUUGCCGGAAGCAAGGUCUCUGAGCAGACAGAUGCUGUUCUGUUCUGAAAUAAUAGAAAGUCAAUUCUUACAGAGAUUCAAAUAAGUCUGUGGAGUAAUACUGACUUUGGGUGGCAGUAGCAAGGAUUUGGGGGAGUUUAUUUAUUAUUUAGUGAGUAGAUGCUGGAGUCUAUACACAGGUUUAAUGGAGUCACUUUUUGGCUCCACUAACCAUAAUAAUAGUUUUUAAAAUGUGAACAAAUAAAACAAGCAAAUUAAUGAAAGAAACUCACAGAGAGAAAUUCCCCAAGUCUUGGGCAAGCUACAUCACUGGAUGACAUUGUUUCAAUGUGAUUGAGGGUUGGGAGCAGCAUUGAAGACAUGCAUUCAGUACUACAUAACCAAAGCAAUGAAAGGUAUUGGGUAGGGAAUAUUGGCCAGUGUUGUUCAGUUGUGUGUCAUAUAACUACAGUCCUCAUGUUCACUAGCCCAAGCUUUUGGGCAUCUAAAGUAGGAGACCAAGCUGUGGAAGGGCUGCCAGUGUGCAAAUGAUGACCCCUAACAAAAGAGUCAGUCACUCCGUUAGGGAUUGGAUGUGGUCACAGUGGCUUGCUGUUCUCUGUCUUGGAUUCUUCCUAGCAAGGAGAUUAAUUUGGUGUGUGAUAUUAUGAGGACUUGGUAAACAUGAUGAGGACACAAGUGUAUGUGUGUUCGUGCAUGUUUGUACGUGUGUGUCUCUGCUUAUCCAUGGUGGAAAUAAUUGCUUUGCAGAAUGUCAGCAAGAAAUGUGUUACAAUACUGGUGCUGAGUGGAAUGUGUGCUUUAAAAAAAUUCCUUGUAUUUUAAUAAAACCUAAAAAUAAGAAAA